CUCAAAAGUACAUAACUGAUAAAGAGAAUGAAGGGUUUAUUUUAUGAAAUGGGUAAACUUUGGUCCACACUCCAACACUGAAGGUGGCGAUAAUAACGCUGGUGCUACCCACCAUAAAACAGAAGAAGAAGAAUCAAACAUCACUAUUCAAGAAUCAGCUACAGGAAAUAGGAGGACUGGACUGGAAGGACGAAUUUAAUGAAGAUAUAGUAAGUUAAAGUGAGUCAGCAGAUGGCAGUAAUGCAACACUAUGGAUGCCAACUGCCGUAAAACUCCAACGAAGAAGAAGACAAACAUCACUAUUGUGAUGCACAUUUGUGUUAGGGACUGUUGACUGUGGAAUUGUUACACUGGAGAAAUGGAUGUGUCAAGUCUUUCCAAGGGGACAAAGAAAUUGAAGUUAAGAAUCGAAAAGGAGUCAUCAAAACAACACCAGAAGCAGAAUGUAUCUGUUAAAUUGAAAUGUCUGUGAAAUGCCAACACCAAACUGAAAAUAAAUC